GACCUGGUCGUACCCCGAGCUUUAGGGGCAGGAUCCGGGGCAGGUUGGGUGCUUGCGGCCGCGAUGACAUUCUCGGACUUGGGCUGUUUCAAUGCCCUGCCAGGUGUUUGCCGGGACCUGCUAUAACCCCUUUCUAUAAUCAAUUGAGUAAUCUCAUCAGGGUCCUGCAGAGGAAGGGCCUUGAGCUGUCGCGAAGCGGUAGGGGACCUGGAAGGGCUGAACCGGGCACCCAUUCUUCAGGGUUGGAUAGCCGGGAAAAUAGAGGACUCCCUUCAAAGACCCCAGGGUUUCAGUGAAACAUGCUGGGAGCUCCUUUCUUGUAUAAAGACCAUGAACGACUGGUGUAGAAUUGGAUUUUGCUGUUUGCUUAAAAGAAAACAAAUAUUGGAGGACAGCUUAUUUUUUUUAUAUAAUGAUUUUUAUUUUUUUCCAUUAUAGCUGGUUUACAGUGUUCUGUCAGUUUUCUACUAUACACCAUGGUGACCCAGUUAUACAUACAUGUAUACAUUCUUUUUUCUCACAUUAUCAUGCUCCAUCAUAAGUGACUAGACAUAGUUCCCAGUGCUACACAGCAGGAUCUCAUUGCUAAUCCAUUCCAAAGGCAAUAGUCUGCAUCUAUUAACCCUAAGCUCCCAAUCCAUCUCACUCCCUCCCCUCCUCCUUGGCAACCACAAGUCUAUUCUCCAAGUCCAUGAUUUUUUUUUUUUCCUGUGGAAAGAUUCAUUUGUGCCAUAUAUUAUAUUCAAGAUAUAAGUGAUAUCAUAUGGUAUUUGUCUUUGUCUUUCUGACUUCACUCAGUAUGAGUCUAGUUCCAUCCAUGUUGCUGCAAAUGGCAUUAUUUUAUGUCAGAGUAGUAUGAGGACAGCUUAUUAAAAAUGACUAGGAAAUUGUGCAAAACUGUCUACAACCAAAACUGCUUCCGGUGAUUCUAGCAAACUGUGCCACAGCUGCUUGACGGUUAGCUGGUGCAGCCCUGUUAUUGGUGUGACUGUGGGCCCAGAAGGUUCAUAAUGUCUCUCAGAUUGUUUGGGUUGUUAUCACUUAAUUUUUUGUUAAGGCUGGGAAUUUGUUUUCUCAGCCUGGCUGGUGAAAUUUCUCCAGGCCAGGGGUGGAAAUUGUGCCACAGCAGCGACUGGAGCCACCUUAACCUGCUGAGUCACCAGGGAACAUCAAGGCUGGGAAUUUUAUUUUGUUUUAGUUGUUGUUGUUAUUGUUUGGCCUCAUCCGGGGACAUGUGGAAGUUCCUGGUCCAGGGAUUGAACCUGCACCACAGCAUUGACCCAGGCCGCUGAAGUGAUAACAUCAGAUCCUUAACCCACUUUGCCCCAAGGGAACUCCAAGGCCAGGAAUUUUAAAAAUUCCACAUUAUGGAGUUCCCAUCAUGGCUCAGGGGAAACAAAUCUGACUAGCAUACUGAGCAAGGCCAGGGAUCGAACCUGAAACCUCAUGGUUCCUAGUCGGAUUCGUUAACCACUGCGCCACGACGGGAACUCCCACAUUACAUUUUGUAAUGUUGACUAGAUAUUGAAGUAGAGUCUUGGUAACAUGUAAGCAAGGAUAGCAACCAGGACUCUCAUAUGCUGCUGAUGAUAAUGCAAAUUGGUAAACCACUUUGGAAAACUGAGCAGUUAUCUUUAAAGUUUAAUAUUUGUAUACCAUAUGAUCAGCAGCCCACUCUUAGGUAUAGAGCCAACAUAAGUAUUUCUGUUCUUAUCUGUAAUAUUCAUAAUAUCCCCGAAGCAGAAGCAACCCAAAUAUCCUUCAACAUUGGAAUGUGUAAUUAAAAUAUGGUAUCAUCAUACAGUGAAAACCAUGUCGCACUGAAAAUGAGUAAAUUCCUGCCACACCAACAACGUGUAUGAAUCUCACAAGCAUAAUAUCGAACAGAAGCAGCCAAAUGUAAUGUAUACUGUGUGACUUUAUUUGCAUAAAGUUCAAAAACAGCCAAAAUUGUUAGCCAAAAUGUUGUUAGACCUCAGAAGGCUGAUUGGUUAUCUCUGAGAAGGCACAAAUAGUGAUUUGGGGAGUAUAGGAGAAGGUCUUCUGGGAGGCUGGUAAUGUUCUAUUUUUUUGAUUUGGGUUGACCUUAUGUGGGUGUAUUCACUUUGGUGGAAUUAAGUGGCAUACUUAACAAUGAGUGCACCUAUCUCUAUAUAUUCUUACACUUGACUACAUAAAGUCUUUUUUUUAAUAAUUGCUUUUUAGGGCCACACCUGUGGCAUAUGGCAGUUCCCAGGCUCAGGGUCCAAUCAGAGCCGCAGCUGCAGUCUACACCACAGCCACAACAACAUGGGAUCUGAGCCACAUCUGCGACCUAUACCAUAGCUCAGGACAAUGCCAGAUCCUUAAUCUACUGAGUGAGGCCAGGGAUGGAUGGAUACUAGUCGGGUUUGUGGUAGCUGAGCCACACUGGGAACUCCCAUAAAAUCUAUUAAAACGAGGAAAAAAAAUUGGAGACAGCAAGUGUAGGAAAUUCUGCAAUGGAAUUUUUUUUUUUUUUUAUUUCAUAGCUGUACAUGUGGCAUAUAGAAGUUCCAAGGCCAGGGACUGAAUCCCAGCUGCAGCUGUGACAAUGCUGGAUCCUUUAACCCACUGCACUAGGCUGGGGAUCGAACCUGUGACUCUGCAAAGACCCCAGCUAUUGCAGUCAUAUUCCUAACCCACUGUGCUGCAGUGGGAACUCCUGCAGUGGAAUCUUGAUUAAGCUGUGUACUUUUUAGAACCUUGCACAAUUCUUUUUUGUUUUUUAUAUAGUUUUUUUAUUUUAACAUCAGGUUUAUUAAAGUAUAUUUUAUGUACAAUAAAGUUCACCCUUUCUUGGGUGUGCAGUUAAUGAGUUUUGACAAACAUGUUUUGUAAUGACCACUGUUAUCAAGAUGGAGAAUGGUUCCAUUACCUCCAGUUAUUUCCACUUUCAUUUGUAUUCAUGCCUUGCCUCUCAUCUCCAACCCCUGGCAGCCACAGAUAUAUUUUCUGUCUCCAUAGUCUUGCCUUUUCCAGAAUGUUGUAUAAAUGUGAUUAUACAUUUACAUAUACUAAUACAGUAUGUAGUAUUCUGAGUCUGGCUUCUUUUACUUAGCAGAAUGCAUAUGUUUCAUUCAGAUUGUGUGUAUCAGUAGUGUGCUGCUUUUUGUUACUGAGUAGUAUUCCAUUGUAUGAAUUUCCCCCAGUUUCAAUCUGUUGAUGAAAAUUUACUUUGUUUUCUAGUUUUGGUUAUGUGAAUCAAGUGACUGUGAAAAGUUGCACACAGAUUUUUAUAGCCAUUAUAGGCUUUCCUGGUGCAAGUGAUAUGAGAAGAUAUCACUGGGCAAGUUAUUUAAUCUUUCUGUGCCUCAGUCCCCCCCCCUUUUUUUUUGUCUUUUUAGGGCUGCACCGGAGGCAUAUGGAGGUUCCCAGGGUAGGGGUCUAAUUGGAGCUGUUGCUGCUGGCCCAUGCCACAGCUCACAGCAAUGCCAGAUCCAAGCCCCACCUGCGACCUACACCACAGCUCAUGGCAACGCUGGACCCUUAACCCGCUGAGCAAGGCCAGGAAUUGAAGCCUAAACCUCAUGGUUUCUAGUCGGAUUUGUUUCCGAUGCGCCAUGAGGGGACCACCUCCCCCCACCCCCUCAGCCUUUAAAUGGGAAAAUAAGAGUACCUACCUCAGAAGAUCUUAACGAUUAAAUGAGAAAGUACCUGUAAAAGCUUUGGCACAGGAGUUCUCACUGUGGCCUAAUGGGAUUGGUGGCUUCUUGGGAGCGCUGGGAUGCAGGUUCCAUCCUCAACCUGGCACAGUGGUUUAAGGAUCUGGCAUUGCCAUACCUGCAGUUUAGGCUGUGACCGUAGCUUGGAUCCGAUCCCUGGCCCAGGAACUCCAUAUGACUUGGGGCAGUAAAAAAAAAAAAAAAAAAAA
ensembl:lncRNA